UACGUAGGGCGCAAGCGUUGUCCGGAAUUAUUGGGCGUAAAGAGCUCGUAGGUGGCGUGUCGCGUCUGCCGUGAAAGCCCAUGGCUUAACUGUGGGUCUGCGGUGGAUACGGGCAGGCUGGAGGCUGGUAGGGGCAAGCGGAAUUCCUGGUGUAGCGGUGAAAUGCGCAGAUAUCGAGAGGAACACCUGCGGCGAAGGCGGGUUGCUGGGCUGACACUGACGCUGAUUGUGCGAAAGCUAGGGGAGCGAACGGG
rnacentral:rRNA from 1 species